UACAGAGGGGGCAAGCGUUGUUCGGAAUUACUGGGCGUAAAGGGCGCGUAGGCGGCCUUCUAAGUCAGACGUGAAAUCCCCCGGCUUAACCUGGGAACUGCGUCUGAUACUGGAAGGCUUGAGGAUGGGAGAGGGAUGUAGAAUUCCAGGUGUAGCGGUGAAAUGCGUAGAUAUCUGGAGGAAUACCGGUGGCGAAGGCGGCAUCCUGGACCUAACUGACGCUGAGGCGCGAAAGCCUAGGGGAGCAAACGGGGAUUAAGAAACCCUAGAGUUC
rnacentral:rRNA from 1 species